rnacentral:rRNA from 1 species
ACGGGAGGCAGCAGUGGGGAAUAUUGGACAAUGGGGGAAACCCUGAUCCAGCGACGCCGCGUGAGUGAAGAAGUAUUUCGGUAUGUAAAGCUCUAUCAGCAAGGAAGAAAAUGACGGUACUUGACUAAGAAGCCCCGGCUAACUACGUGCCAGCAGCCGCGGUAAUACGUAGGGGGCAAGCGUUAUCCGGAUUUACUGGGUGUAAAGGGAGCGUAGACGGCAAAGCAAGUCUGAAGUGAAAUCCCGGGGCUCAACCCUGGAACUGCUUUGGAAACUGUUUAGCUAGAGUGCAGGAGAGGUAAGUGGAAUUCCUAGUGUAGCGGUGAAAUGCGUAGAUAUUAGGAGGAACACCAGUGGCGAAGGCGGCUUUCUGGACUGUUACUGACACUGAGGCACGAAAGUGUGGGGAGCAAACAGGAUUAGAUACCCUGGUA